AUUGAACGCUGGCGGCAGGCCUAACACAUGCAAGUCGAACGAGUGGCGGACGGGUGAGUAAUGUCUGGGAAACGGCCCGAUGGAGGGGGAUAACUACUGGAAACGGUAGCUAAUAACGAAUACCAUAGGCGGUGCCCCGAUGGGAUUAGCUAGGAGGUGGUGUAACGGCUCCCCUAGGCGCCGAACCCUCGCUGGUCUGGGAGGAUGACCAGCCACACUGGAACUGCGACACGGUCCAGACUCCUACGGGAGGCAGCAGUGGGGAAUAUUGCACAAUGGGCGCAAGCCUGAUGCAGCCAUGCCGCGUGUAUGAAGAAGUCCUUCGGGUUGUAAAGUACUUUCAGCGAGGAGGCGUUACUCGCAGAAGAAGCACCGGCUAACUCCGUGCCAGCAGCCGCGGUAAUAC
rnacentral:rRNA from 1 species